rnacentral:lncRNA from 1 species
GUUUGUCUUUACAUGUACAUUUGUGGGACAUGAAGUGAAGAAGGCUGUGGCGGUGAUUCUUUCGGGUUAUUAUUUCUGGUAGAAAUACACCUGAGUAAUAUAAGAAAGUACUCAAAGGAUAGGCCGGAGGCAUAGGUUUAUUACUCCAGGGAUCGGCAUGUCGCUGAACCAUAGCGGCAUAUCAUCAGACACUUUUCCAUCUCGGCGUCACUCCAGAGAGAGCUGGGCUAACGCUACACAAAAGGCAACAUGAAAUAAACACUUAUGUGAGUAGGUUUACAUUUAUCAUUGUAAAGCGACUUUGAGUUCUAGAAAAGCGUUAUAGAAAUUCAAUGUAUUAUAAUUAUAAUUAUAAACAGAACCAGUGGCGUGCUUUGCUCGGGCUGUGUCAUUCCUGUUAUUGCUAUUAUUAGAAAUUCAUGGGUACAGCAAUGUCGCAUAACAAAAAGGACACGCCUAUCUUGAGCCAUAAAGUAAAAGUAGCAUAGAAUGGAAACACUCAAAGUCAUAAAGUCAUCCUUAAUUUGUACAUCCGGAUGUUUUUUUCAAUCUGUUCUCAAACUGCAAGUCUCUGGCCCGGGUGCCAACGUCACCCAGCCACCCGCCCAAGUCUGCCCAUACAGGGGAAAAGGCGUGACAAUUGAGAAGCCGGGUAGACGUCUCACUGGCCAAUAACAAGCAAAGGGUGCACACACACUCAGACGGCCCGUGCAAUCAGCGCACGCUUUCGGCACAAGUGUCUUACAUCGCUUUCAGAGAUGUCUUUAAUUUGUCAUCGGUCCUCUGACCCAAACAACCACGUGGUUCUGCUGUACGAUAACAACAAUGAAAAAGGUCACCUGUAUAUGGGGAAUGAUACAUCUCCACUCUGCAAUUACACCUCCCCUCCUCCACUCUCCUGUGUGGUGUGUUUCGAGCAGUUUGUCUACACCGUUUGCUCCGACCUGCAGAAGAACGUAACACUGGUGAUGGAGGGAAGUGGAAAACCAAUGGAUCUUAUAAAGAGCGAGUGCCCCACCCUUCUUGGUAAUGCCACAAAUGAAAAUGCUGACUUGCCUGUAAACCACGCGGGUGCUUGGGAAUGGUGGAUGAUCCUCCUCCUCGUCCUCCUCGUCCUCCUCAUCCUCGCCGUCAUCAUUUCCGCUUUGGUGAUUUACUGCAGACGAGGACAGACUGCAGUCAACUUCCGGCAGGUGAACUCUGAAGCUGAAGCUGAAACUGCAGUGCGGGUCAAGUGCAAAGCAAGACAGAGAGAUGGAUGAGGACAGACACGUCAAUGUCAAUACUCCCAGAAGAAGAAGUCCCAUUCACCUUGUCUAGUUUCACCACCAAUGGAAAUGCCCAGUUUAACGUGAAUUAAAGCUAAUGCUAGUAGGCCAAUCUUAAGAAGGCUACAGAGUUAUUUCACACUGCGGAAGCAAUACAAUCAUUUUAAAAUCAAUAAAAUACAAUUUAAACC